UGAAGCUGUCUGUUUAGAACAUGGUGUGA
rnacentral:piRNA from 1 species